UUCCCUUCGAUGACAUUCAAUAAAACUAGAACGAUACAAAGAAGAUUAGCAAAGCCCGCGAGGAUGUGACAUGCACAAAUGGAGAAGAUCUAUACUUAC